CCAAAAUUGAGGCAGUGGACUUUGGGAGCAACUAUACAUAUGUGUUUUUUUUUCCUUUUUCUCUUUUUGUGAGUGUGUAGGUGUAUGCUUCUUUGUGCCAUUUGGUCUGUAUAGCCUUCCUUUUACCAUUUGUCCUAGGGUUCUGUCCGUCUGUUUUUUUGUGUUUUUUUUCUUAGUAUAGUUUUUAGAGCUUG